GUUUUUCUUGACCUGUUGAAUCUACCUAUCCCAUCAGUUUUAAGACUCUGACAAGUUGCUAGGUUAGAUGUGUUCGUAGAACCUGGGAGUUGAGUUUAACACCCCUACUGCUGCAUAUUCUCAUGGCCGACACAUUCGUUGCAUUAUGCUGGAUAAAUUGUUUGGGCUUAAGAGCUAAAUGUACAUACUGUUGAUGGAAUUAGCGUGCUCAAUGCAAUUGUGCAGCAGCCAGAAUAAUGUCAAAAUGUGCGAAAUUCAAAACCCCGAUCCUAUCAAGCUCGAAUUUCCCACCAAAAGAUUGUAACUACCUUUUGAGCCCUUUAACAUCAUCCACUUCUCUCUCCUCUGUCCUGCAACACUACAUCAACUCAGACCACCCUUCUCAUGGCCAAAAGAUUCAUUCCCACAUCAUUAAAACUGGGUUCAAGCCCAAUCGCAACAUCUCCAUCAAGAUCAUCAUACUUCACCUGAAAUCAUCUAGCUUGUCAUAUGCGCAGAAAGUGUUUGAUGAAUUGCCUCAGCCAACUCUUAGUUCUUAUAACUACAUGCUAUCAGGUUAUAUAAAACAUGGGCUCGUUGAGAAGUCUUUUGAUUUGUUUAGAAAAUUGACGUUUUCGGGUGAAAAGUCUGACGGGUUUACAUUUUCAAUGAUAUUGAAGGGGUCUAGUUUUGAAAGUGUAUUGUCGCGAUCCAAGACUGUGGGCAGAGAAGUACAUGCGCAGAUAAUAAAAUCUGGUGUUGAUGGUGAUGAUGUGCUUUACACGGCUUUAGUUGACUCGUACGUGAAGAGUAGGAGAUUGGACUAUGCAAGGAGAGUGUUUGAUUUGAUGUUGGAGAAGAAUGUAGUUUGUUCUACAUCUAUGAUCACUGGUUACAUGAACCAGGGUCUUAUCGAAGAUGCUGAGCACGUCUUCAACAAAACAGUGGAAAAAGACGUGGUGGUUUUCAAUGCAAUGAUUGAGGGUUACAGUAAAUUGAUUGAAACUGCCAAGAAAGCAAUUCAGGUUUUCAUUGCCAUGCAAAGGACAGGAUUUAAGCCCACAAUAUCAACCUUUGCGAGCAUUAUUGGGGCUUGUUCUGUAAUAUCUGCAUUUGAAGUUGGUCAGCAGGUUCAGGGGCAACUUAUGAAGACUGAAUUGUUUACUGAUAUAAAAAUGGGGAGCGCUCUUCUUGAUAUGUAUUCAAAAUGUGGAAGAACUGUGGACGCAAGAAAAAUUUUUGAUCAUAUGCCUGAAAAGAAUGUGUUUUCAUGGACUUCCAUGAUUGAUGGUUAUGGGAAAAAUGGUGCUCCAAAUGAAGCACUUCAGCUGUUCAAUAGGAUGCUGUUAGAUCCCUUGGUCAAGCCUAACUAUGUUACAUUUCUCAGUGCUCUUACUGCAUGUGCACAUGCCGGACUAGUUGCAACAGGAUGGGAGAUCUUUUACCGCAUGGAGAGAGACUACUCGAUGAAACCAAGGAUGGAGCACUAUGCCUGCAUGGUUGAUCUCUUAGGCCGUGCAGGAACUCUUAAUCAGGCCUUGGAAUUUAUUAUGGAGAUGCCUCAAAAUCCUAAUUCUGAUGUUUGGGCUGCUCUGCUGAGUUGUUCUAGGCUGCAUGGAGAUGUGGACAUGGCAAAUUUAGCUGCCAAUGAACUUUUCAAAUUAAAUGCUGAGAGUCGACCUGGGGCAUAUGUUGCAUUAUCUAAUACCUUGGCAGAAGCUGGGAGGUGGAGCAAUGUAACUGAGCUUAGGGAGCUAAUGAAGACAAGAGGAAUAUCUAAAGGCACUGGGUUUAGUUGGUUUGGCAGUGAUAGUCUAGAAGCUUUAUAUGCUGGACAAUAGAUGUAAAUGAAGGCUGUGAUGAAUUUUCACAAUUACUCAUUCUUUGUUUCUAGGCUAGUUGGACUGAUUAUAAACAGGAAAACAAUCAAGGACGAACCUACAAAAAACUUAGCACAUGGGCUUGCCUACUUUUGAUUCAAUGCCUUGGCUAACAGUUGGAGAAUAUGAAGAACUUGGUUCAUGGACGUUGCUGCUCUGUGAUUGUUGUCAAGAAUGAUAUUCAAAUAAGACAUGAUUUUUCUUUUUCUUGAGAGGGGAUGAUGGGGAAAGCAAGAAUGGUGCAAUAAGAAUCCAUAUCUGGUCAAAGCAAGGUGCUGGCUGAACUUAGCAUGGUGAGGAUCAUGGUUCCAUGGUUGGUUCCAGAUCGGUCAUUUUCAUCAAUUCAAUGGUCAACACAGUUUUUAAGUGUAAAUAUACAUCCUAUAAUGACUUCAUUAUAUGGUUAGACAAGCUUAGUGAAUACCAAAGCAAAAAUGCUUUAAGAAGAGUUGAUUGAAAAUUGAAAGUUUCAUCUUCAUGCAGUUUAUCUUCCGUCCAGAUUAUUAUAAUGCUGAACACAGCUUCAUCAUCAUUGGCAACAUAUGGGUCUUCUUUGUAAAGUUUUGUUUAUUGUACUUGUAGCUAGGGCAAGAGACAAAUGUAGCAGGGAAUAAAAAAUUAGCUGAUUACCUCUCCGAAAAUUUGUAGUUUCUUGUACGUUAUACUCAAGAUUGGGUGAUUUGGAUUUGUUUAGUUACUCUUGAAUCGCGAAAUCUUUCUUUUCAUGACCUUCUUAAUGCUAACA